UACGUAGGCAGCGAGCGUUGUUCGGAGUUACUGGGCGUAAAGGGUGUGUAGGCGGUUGUUUAAGUUUGGUGUGAAAUCUCCCGGCUCAACUGGGAGGGUGCGGUGGAGACUGCCGGACUGGAGGCACUCGAGAGGCCGUGGAAUUCCCGGUGUGAGUGGUGAAAUGCGUAGAGAUCGGGAGGAACACCAGUGGCGAAGGCGGCCGGCUGGGGGUGACCUGACGCUGGAGGCGCGAAAGCGUGGGGAGCGAACCGGG
rnacentral:rRNA from 1 species